AUUGAACGCUGGCGGCAGGCCUAACACAUGCAAGUCGAGCGAGCGGCGGACGGGUGAGUAAUGUCUGGGAAACUGCCUGAUGGAGGGGGAUAACUACUGGAAACGGUAGCUAAUACCGCAUACCAUCAGAUGUGCCCAGAGGGGAUUAGCUCGUAGGUGGGGUAACGGCUCCCCUAGGCGACGAUCCCUAGCUGGUCUGAGAGGAUGACCAGCCACACUGGAACUGAGACAGGGUCCAGACUCCUACGUGAGGCAGUGGCAGGGUAUAUUGCACAGUGGGCGCAAGCCUGAUGCAGCCAUGCCGCGUGUGUGAAGAAGGCCUUCGGGUUGUAAAGCACUUUCAGCGGGGAGGCGUUACCCGCAGAAGAAGCACCGGCUAACUCCGUGCCAGCAGCCGCGGUAAUAC
rnacentral:rRNA from 1 species